UGGCGCCAGUCGCAGCACGAAACUUCCGUUGAGCUGAACUACUUGGUCCUACGAACUUUUAUAACCUAUGUUUUAAAUUUACUGUUGAUAAAUAUAUUUUAAAAUGUUCGUGACAGAUAUUCGAAAAGAAUUUUAUGAUAUUGUCGUCAAUCAGAGAGUGGUUCUCCUGGUGUCGUUGGACAUCGAUGCGCUGUGUGCAUGUAAAAUUCUGCAGGCGUUGUUCCACUGCGACCAGGUCCAGUACACUCUGGUUCCUGUGACGGGAUGGGAGAACCUUGGCACUGCCUUUUUAGAACAUAAGGAGCAGUACCAGUAUUUUGUCCUAAUUAACUGUGGGGCAAAUGUGGACCUGUUGGAGACCCUGCAGCCAGAGGAGGACUCCAUCUUUUUCAUCUGUGAUACUCAUAGGCCUGUUGAUGUGGUUAACAUCUACAAUGACACUCAGAUUAAGUUGCUCAUCAAACAAGAUGAUGACCUCGGUGUGCCCUCCUACGAGGACAUUUUCCAUGACGACGAAGAUGAGGACGAGGAAGGCAACAGAGACGAUUCUGGGAAUGAGAGUGACGGUGGCGCCGAGCCAUCUGGGAAGCGUCGGCGUUUUGACGAGGCUGCCUUGGAGAGGAGGAUCGAGCGGCAGCGCGCCCGGAGAGAGUGGGAGGCUCGCAGGAGAGAGAUCCUGUUCGACUACGAGCAGUAUGAGUACCACGGAACCUCGGCUGCUAUGUUUAUGUUUGAGCUGGCAUGGGUGAUGACUAAGGACACCAAAGACAUGCUUUGGUGGAGCAUCAUCGGGCUCACUGACCAGUGGGUUCACGACAAAAUCACACAUAUGAAGUAUGUAACUGAUAUAGUCGCUUUGCAGCGACACGUCUCUCGCCACAAUCAUCGCAACGAGGAUGAGGAGAAUUCGCUUUCCAUCGACUGCAUUCGCAUCUCCUUUGAAUAUGAUUUGAGGCUGGCCUUGUACCAGCACUGGAGUCUAUACGAGAGCAUCUGCAACUCCUGCUACACCUCCUGCAACUUUAAGCUCUGGUCUAUCAAUGGCCAGAAGAAACUGCAGGAGUUCCUGGCAGACAUGGGUCUCCCACUUAAACAGGUGCGGCAGAAGUUUAACUCCAUGGACAUCUCGGUCAAGGAGAACCUGCGUGAGGUCAUCGAGGAGUCCUCGAACAAGUUUGGGAUGAAGGACAUCCGUGUGCAGACGUUCAGCGUGCACUUUGGCUUCAAGAACCGCUUCUUGGCCAGCGACGUGGUACAUGCGGCCGCUGCCCUGCUGGAGAACGUGGAGAAGGAGGAGUGUGCCACGGACAACUUCAUCAAAGCCCUGGACUGCCUCUCAAGGAGUAAUAUAGAGAGGCUGCAUGUGGGAAUUGAUCUGGCAAAGAAGAAACUCAAGGCCAUUCAGCAGACAGUCGCCAGCUGCAUCUGCACCAAUCUCCUCCUCUCACAAGGACCGUUCCUCUACUGCCAUUUACUGGAGGGUACUCCAGAUGUAAAGCUGUUCUCCAAGCCCCUGGCCCUGUCUCUGCUCUGCAAAUACCUGCUCAAGGCCUUUGUCUGCUCUACUCGGAAUAAGCGCUGUAAAGUGUUACCCCUCAUCAUGGCUGCUCCCAGGGAUGUGGAUAAAGGCACAGUGAUUGUCUUGGGCAUUCCACCGGAGUCUGAGACCUCUGACAAGAAAAACUUCUUUGGCAGGGCCUUUGAGAAGGCUGCUGAAAGCACAAGCUCAAGGGCUCUGCAUGAUCACUUCGACACAUCAAUUAUCGAGCUAAAGAUGGAGGACAGAAGCAAGUUUCUCGACGCCCUCAUCACCCUUCUGUCAUAACGCCCCCAGUGCAUGUUGGGAGUGCUACUCAAACAACACACAACCAACAAAUUGCCAGGAACUUGGACACACAUGACUGUGUAUGCCUGCGUCACAAUUCCCAGAGUUGGCCUGACUCGCAGAAAAGCUUGUUCACACACAGAGACCCUCCAGGAAUGGAAUUUUGCACUCCUUGAGAACAAAUUUGUAGUCGCAAGGCAGCUUUGCAAAUGUUGAAGUCCAAGCCCCCAGUGAGCAAGCCAAGGUUCACGGUGGCUAGGAAAAACUCCCUAGAGCACGAGGAAGAAACCUUGAAAGGAACCAAGACUCAAAGGGCGGGGGCCCAUCCUCCUUUGGCUGAUGAUGGAUGACAACGUACUGCACUCCUGAACUGGACCUUGAGGCAAAUCUCUGCUUUUUUGCAGCUCACUGUAGUAUUGUGGCACUCGCCAAGAAUCUGUUUACUUGAGCAGGCGUUCAGAAGGACGACUACAGCUUGAUGUAAAUAGCCUCAAAUGGAACCUGUCUGAUUGGAUUCAGAUGAAAAAAAAUGUUACUGCCAACACAUGUAACCUAGACGAGAACUGGUGGGAUUCUGAGCA